rnacentral:tRNA from 1 species
GCCCGUAUGGCUUAGUGGUAAAGCGUCUCACGUCAGAUGAGAAGAUCCAUCGUUCGAUCCGGUGUAUGGGCA